GAGGGUAUAGCUCAGUGGUAGAGUGCAUGCUUAGCAGGCACAAGGUCCUGGGUUCAAUCCCCAGUACCUCCA
rnacentral:tRNA from 1 species